rnacentral:rRNA from 1 species
ACCUCGAUGUCGGCUCAUCACAUCCUGGGGCUGAAGCCGGUCCCAAGGGUAUGGCUGUUCGCCAUUUAAAGUGGUACGCGAGCUGGGUUUAGAACGUCGUGAGACAGUUCGGUCCCUAUCUGCCGUGGACGUUUGAGAUUUGAGAGGGGCUGCUCCUAGUACGAGAGGACCGGAGUGGACGAACCUCUGGUGUUCCGGUUGUCACGCCAGUGGCAUUGCCGGGUAGCUAUGUUCGGAAAAGAUAACCGCUGAAAGCAUCUAAGCGGGAAACUUGCCUCAAGAUGAGAUCUCACUGGGARCUUGAUUCCCCUGAAGGGCCGUCGAAGACUACGACGUUGAUAGGCUGGGUGUGUAAGCGUUGUGAGGCGUUGAGCUAACCAGUACUAAUUGCCCGUGAGGCUUGACCAUAUAACACCCAAACA